AUCAAAACAGCUUAUGACACACUCACCAUCCCUGCCCUCUAUCAGCCUAACCCUGAAACAGCUAGACAUUGAAUAACCCUUUGUAGGGACUAGGGAGUAACUGUCACGAUUCACUGCCCUAGGCUACCCUUUCCACCCAUGUGCCCUGAGCCUGGUAGCAGUGGCCUACUUCAGGGCUCAUCAUAAUCCUCCCUCAGUGGUUUCCCUUUAAAAUGUCCCCUAGGAAGGCAGCAGAGCACGAGCUUUGCUUUUGCUGGAUAGGUGCCCCAAGGAGCCUUGAAAGGAGUGGGAGGGUGUUGAUGGGCAAGCUCAUGCCUGGAGCUCUUCUUAACUGAGCUGGUCACUGAGUAGAUUUGUGCCUUUAGACGCCUUCUUCUUAGGACAUUUCAGGUGAUGAGAAUAUUUCAGGGGGGUCCCAAGACAGGUGAGACCCUGUCUCACUAUGUAGUUCAAGCUGUUCUUGAACCCACGGUGCAGCCCAGGCUGAUCUCAAACUCCCAGUCCUCCUGAAAGCUAGGUUUGAGAAUCCAACUUCAAAUGGAGGUGGAGGGGACCUGGAGUAGGAGACAAAAGCUGGAGGGAAGACUGAGAGCUGCAGUUGGGUUGGGAGAAGCAAGGCACACAGGGGAGACGGGAGCGGGCCUUGAGAGAGAGACAUGAAGGCCGAAAAUAUUUUUGUUUGUUUUCUGUUUUUGUUUUGUUUUUUGUUUUUUUGCUUUUUUGUUUUUUGAGACAGGAUUUCUCUGUGUAACAGCCCUAGCUAUCCUGGAACUAGCUCUGUAGACCAGGCUGGCCCUUCCUCUGCCUCCUGAGUGCUGGAAUUAAAGGCAUGUGCCACCACCGUCAGAGAAGAUACUUUUGAUAGUCACUCUGAGAACUUUCCCUCUCGCACAACACUGACUAAGAGACUUAGAAACCAUUUCCCUGGGUUCAGGCGGCCAGGCCCUCUCUUCUGCCUCCUCCAUCUUAUGAUCCUCAACUUCAGAUAUUUGUUCCUUACAGGGAGGAGUGGAAGCGAGAAAGGAAAGUGAGCCCUGUAAGAUGCUGAGGAGCCUCUUCUGUCUUCCUUGCCAUUUUCCAUAGAAGCGUUGCUGCUUCAUUUUGAGACAAGAUCUCGAUCAUCCUGCAGCUCAGGCCGACCUACAAUUUGUAGCAUUCCUCUUGCCUUCACCCCUCAGAUUCUGGGAUUAUACGCAAGAGUCAUCAUGACCCACUUUUUACAGUCAGUGUAUACA
rnacentral:lncRNA from 1 species